GGCUCAGGAUGAACGCUAGCUACAGGCUUAACACAUGCAAGUCGAGGGGCAUCAGGAAGAAAGCUUGCUUUCUUUGCUGGCGACCGGCGCACGGGUGAGUAACACGUAUCCAACCUGCCCUUUACUCGGGGAUAGCCUUUCGAAAGAAAGAUUAAUAUCCGAUGGUAUAUUAAAACCGCAUGGUUUUACUAUUAAAGAAUUUCGGUUAUCGAUGGGGAUGCGUUCCAUUAGUUUGUUGGCGGGGUAACGGCCCACCAAGACUACGAUGGAUAGGGGUUCCGAGAGGAAGGUCCCCCACAUUGGAACUGAGACACGGUCCAAACUCCUACGGGAGGCAGCAGUGAGGAAUAUUGGUCAAUGGACGAGAGUCUGAACCAGCCAAGUAGCGUGAAGGAUGACUGCCCUAUGGGUUGUAAACUUCUUUUAUAUGGGAAUAAAGUAUUCCACGUGUGGGAUUUUGUAUGUACCAUAUGAAUAAGGAUCGGCUAACUCCGUGCCAGCAGCCGCGGUAAUACGGAGGAUCCGAGCGUUAUCCGGAUUUAUUGGGUUUAAAGGGAGCGUAGGUGGAUUGUUAAGUCAGUUGUGAAAGUUUGCGGCUCAACCGUAAAAUUGCAGUUGAAACUGGCAGUCUUGAGUACAGUAGAGGUGGGCGGAAUUCGUGGUGUAGCGGUGAAAUGCUUAGAUAUCACGAAGAACUCCGAUUGCGAAGGCAGCUCACUAGACUGCAACUGACACUGAUGCUCGAAAGUGUGGGUAUCAAACAGGAUUAGAUACCCUGGUAGUCCACACAGUAAACGAUGAAUACUCGCUGUUUGCGAUAUACAGUAAGCGGCCAAGCGAAAGCAUUAAGUAUUCCACCUGGGGAGUACGCCGGCAACGGUGAAACUCAAAGGAAUUGACGGGGGCCCGCACAAGCGGAGGAACAUGUGGUUUAAUUCGAUGAUACGCGAGGAACCUUACCCGGGCUUAAAUUGCAUUUGAAUAAUCUGGAAACAGGUUAGCCGCAAGGCAAAUGUGAAGGUGCUGCAUGGUUGUCGUCAGCUCGUGCCGUGAGGUGUCGGCUUAAGUGCCAUAACGAGCGCAACCCUUAUCUUUAGUUACUAACAGGUCAUGCUGAGGACUCUAGAGAGACUGCCGUCGUAAGAUGUGAGGAAGGUGGGGAUGACGUCAAAUCAGCACGGCCCUUACGCCCGGGGCUACACACGUGUUACAAUGGGGGGUACAGAAGGCAGCUACCUGGUGACAGGAUGCUAAUCCCAAAAGCCUCUCUCAGUUCGGAUCGAAGUCUGCAACCCGACUUCGUGAAGCUGGAUUCGCUAGUAAUCGCGCAUCAGCCACGGCGCGGUGAAUACGUUCCCGGGCCUUGUACACACCGCCCGUCAAGCCAUGGGAGCCGGGGGUACCUGAAGUACGUAACCGCAAGGAUCGUCCUAGGGUAAAACUGG
rnacentral:rRNA from 1 species